rnacentral:rRNA from 1 species
UACGUAGGGUGCAAGCGUUAAUCGGAAUUAUUGGGCGUAAAGAGCUUGUAGGCGGUCUGUCGCGUCUGCUGUGAAAAUCCGGGGCUCAACCCCGGACUUGCAGUGGGUACGGGCAGACUAGAGUGUGGUAGGGGAGACUGGAAUUCCUGGUGUAGCGGUGAAAUGCGCAGAUAUCAGGAGGAACACCGAUGGCGAAGGCAGCCUCCUGGGCCAACACUGACGCUCAUGCACGAAAGCGUGGGGAGCAAACAGG